UGAGGAAUAUUGGUCAAUGGGCGGGAGCCUGAACCAGCCAAGCCGCGUGAGGGAGGAAGGCCCUAUGGGUCGUAAACCUCUUUUGUCAGGGAACAAAAGCGAGUAUAUAUACUAGUCUGAGUGUACCUGAAGAAAAAGGCAUCGGCUAACUCCGUGCCAGCAGCCGCGGUAAUACGGAGGAUGCGAGCGUUAUCCGGAUUUAUUGGGUUUAAAGGGUGCGUAGGCGGCGGUGCAAGUCAGCGGUAAAAGCCCGGGGCUCAACCCCGGCGAGCCGUUGAAACUGCAGUGCUAGAGAAGGCGAGAGGUACGCGGAAUGCGCAGUGUAGCGGUGAAAUGCUUAGAUAUUGCGCAGAACUCCGAUUGCGAAGGCAGCGUACUGGCGCCUGACUGACGCUGAGGCACGGAAGCGUGGGGAUCGAACAGGAUUAGAUACC
rnacentral:rRNA from 1 species